UGUAUCUACCCGUUUCCUUAUAUCAUGACCUGUAUUUCGAAAUGCUUAAAAAAACAUUUAUUGAAAGUGGGAAAAAAAACUAGGCUGUCUACAGUUUUGUUAUAAUCUUUUCUUUUUCACUUGGAUGGGAUAACUAUACAGUUCAUGUUACAAGACCAAAAAGGAGCUCCGUAUAGACUUCUACAGUGUUGUUAUUACUGGACCACCAUCAGUAGCUGUAGCUGUAGCAGUUGGACACAAAGCACGUUGAGUUAACGACUAAUUGUUAAAGAUGUGGAGGUAGGAUUGGAUAAAAAAAGGGAAUAUUGUGAAGUGCACAUGUUUUAGAAUAUAAUCUAAUAGUGGAAUUUCUGAAUUGUAAUGCUUGGGUUACAUUUUUAUAUGAAUGCAUUAAUUAUUGGUGUCUUAUUUCAGGUCUUUUUGGCUAUUACAUUUUAUGACAAACUGACUUCAGACCACACUGUAUUAUAGAGCCAAGAUCCACACAAAUUCUAAUGGUGCGAUAGGUUUGUAAGAGUUCUAUAUGAACUGUACUGGAACGUAGUAAAAUGCAUCAAAGACGCACUGGACCCAGGUGCAGUGAAAAAUAAAAUGAUCUGGAAUGAGGACGUUUUUGUGGUGUGAACUGACACCAAGACAGGUCAAACAUAACAGGAACAGUACACCUGAGGCUUCCUAAACCAAAUAUUCAACAUACCCUGCCCAGGAAGCUGCUAAGGAAUAUUAUCAGGAGGUAUUAUAGAUUCCUUAUUGUUGCUGGCCUAGUGUGACAUUGUAUUCAUUCCCGGAGGCCUGUAACUAAAUACAUAUUCUCUUUAGAGCUGCAGCCCUCAAUUACGCAGCAUAUCUCAUGAUCCACACCCUCUAUUGUCCCUGUAUUUAAGAGGAAUAAUGGAAGCACUGACCUACAUUGCGUUUCUUAUCAUCAAUGGAGAUGAAGCGUAUGCAGGGAUUAUCGGUGAUGUACUUGGCUGCCCAGGGGACGUCAAUCUGUGUGCCAGCUUCAUAAAAGAGUCCCAGGGCAUAACGGGAGGAGUAGCUCACAGUUUCCAGUUGCCGCCGCUGGUUUUCAUUUAUUACUGAAAGAUUUAAAAAAAAAAAAAAAAAUUAUUGUCAACAUUCAACACUCAAGCUGUCACUGGCCUACAUUUCCUAGGAGUCUCAGCCAGUUCAAAGUUAAAUAAUAAUAAAAGGCAAAUAAACACCCUUUCAUCCA